CCCCUAUUGCACAGUCAGAGUGGUACAUCCCAGCUGCUCUCUCUCCCCCUCUCCCAGUGUCCUCCAUCUCUUCUCCCUCCCUCAUUCUCUGACAUUUCUCCUUGAGGAAGGAGCCGAGCCCAGCCCCGCAUUUCCUCCCUGCAGGCCUCAUUAUCCCUCUGUUAUCAUUUCUCCAUCCAAAUCCAGGCCCAAGAAGCUGCACAGCUAGGACUGAGGCAGCCAAAGGAAACACGAAGGAAUCUCCAGUCUAGGAAAUAGCCCCCUCACCUCUGUUUUCAGAUCCCAUGGAGGGCAAAGUCAAAAGUGGAGCAGGGGCUCCUAAAGCAGCCCCCGCUUCCAAAGAGAAACAAGGUGAAAAGGCGGAAAAGAAAGAUUCAGCCACACCGCGCAAAGCCAACCCCGCCCCUGCUGAUCCUGCCCCAGCAGCCCCUGCUCCUGAGAAGCCCGCUGUGGAUGGAGCGGCUGACCAGGAGGCGGCGCCAGAGGGCAGUGAGGCAAGAGAGCCCAGCACAGACUCCCUGGAGAACCUGAAGCCUUUCCUUAUUGGGGGAGCAGUCAUCGCUGCUGCAGCCAUCCUGGUGGGGGCACUGUUGUUAGCACGGAGGCAUUGAGAGCAUCCUGCUUAGUUUAUUGGAUAAUCGGCAAAAGCAUUGCUUGCUGAUUGGUUAAUUUACUGGCUUAUAUUGAUUAACUGAGGAAGAAAAUGUGUGUAAGCCACCCUGCCCAUUAUUCUAUUUACACAACUCCUGAGCAAACUUACCUAUGUAUAUAAGCAGGUAUACCCACGAAUCACAUGCCAAGCCUGAUAAUCUGUUUUGGCAGCAUACUAACAUAUGUGUGGCUGUACUUUCAAAUAUGUUAAACCAUUUGGAUGAGAGUAUGGAGUCUCUGUAAAUAUGAAACUAAAUGAUGUUGCUAUAGCAACAUUAAGAACAACAUUUCAAAGGUACAGUCAAUAUUCUAGGGAAUUAUUAUUAUUUUGAUCCAUUUCAGUGUGGAGGAUUGUAGCAUUUUGAUGAUUCAAGAACAUUUACUCAUAUAUAAAGUCAUAAUCGUUUUAUGGCAAGAACGGCAAUAGUUGUCCUAUUCUAGUUGUAGUGAUAAAAUUAGUGACAUUUUCUAUCAGCCAAAAAGAAACCAACUACUGAGACCUCUGAUAUACAGUAGGUUCACCUAGGAAAUAUUUAUUUUUGAAGUAAUUGGCUGUGGUUCUAAAAUUGUAAAUUGUUAUAAAUGUCUAAAUGCGAGUCCGUAAGAUGAAAGCAUGAGGUAUCGUCUUCUUAGUAACAGGAUGUAGGGGGGGAUGGAUUGAAGAAUCUUCUGGAAAAGAGUGCUCCUGUUAGCCGGAUGAGCUGCAUAUCCUUAUUUGAGUAGCUGUCUGUGUGUACUUAGAAUCCUUGGUAAGUUGACGCCAUGUCCUCCGUUGAAGAUGUAGGAUGAACCCUAUCAUACUUCGGCCCUACCUACCCCAUCUCUCUGUCCACAGUAAUCAUGAUGCCAAUGCAGUAACGCACAUUAUUGGUUGACACUGGAAGCAAUAUAAUGCUUUAAAAAUACUGAAAAUAUAUUCAACUGUCAAGUAAACCUUUGCCACUGCUAAGUGGCUAGGGAAUGUGUAUGUUUGUUGGGCAUUAAAAGAAUAUCACUUCAGUGUGAAUUACAUAAUUUAUAAAAUUAUAUGUAUUUGUCUCAUUGUCUAUGUAGAUUUAAUUUGUAAAUUGUAUAGGUAGGGAAACCCGAUUUGUAUAUUUAUUUUCUUAUUUAAAGCUACACAGGCAGGACAUGGUGGAGCAAAAUGUCUAUUAUAGGUCUCUGUGGCAACUAUAUAAAAUAUCCAAAACACACUUUGCAUGAAGUGUGUUGUAAGAUUUGUCUCUUUUGGCUCCAAAUUGUCUAUUUUUGGCACAUAGUUUUGCUGUUUCUGGAAACAAGCAAAAGUGUGAUAUUUUGGUAGCUAGAAUGUGUACAAUGUAUGGAUGCACUACUUGUAAGUAUAAUGUACAUACUUCUAUGCUAGUGAUCCUAGGGUCUGUCAGAAUCUCCUCUUGCACUUUUGACUUAACAGAACUCUACGGGCUUUCCGUCAGAACCAUUUUCACAUCUAAUUGCACUGAUUAUUAAUAAUAGAUGACCUUCCUGCGCACUGACAUUAAACCCACAACAAGAACACCGUCAUUAUCGUCUCCGCAAAUGCAUACAGUCCCUUAGCAGACCAUAUGCUGCAGUGCAUAGAGCAUACUCUGACACUGAUUCUCUAUGGAAAGUAACAAAAAAGUUUAGCUUUAUUCACUUUAUAGUUUUUAUUCUUCUCCAGAGCGUAUAAAUGCAAUAAUUCUAGUAGGAAUAUACGUUUUAGCACAUUAUUGUGACUCAAUAAUGGUUAUGAUAAUAAAAAUGAAAAUGAUAACGAUUAUUAUUAUUCCCAAUAUAACCAGUCCUCCCCCCCAUACCAUGGGCUUUCCCUCGUGCUAAACUGUUCCUGCCACUCACUGGCAUGUCAGGAGGACAGAAAAAGGCUCCUCCCUGACCAUUAUAUAAUUAUUUAAACAAGUCCUUUUCAGUCUGAAUCUCUUUUGGGCUGAGGUGCAAACGCACAGAUGCCAUAAAUUUGAUUCACACUUAUGCCUGGACAUGUCUUGGUCUGGAACAAACCAUCUAAUGCAAGUGUAGUGAUGAUGUCAUUAAUGAUGUUUCUGUAUAUUAUGGAGCCCUGAGUUUGACCCUCAGGAUCCCAUUCACAUCCAUUGAACUACCUUGUUGUAUCCACUCUAGUUAUAGAUUCAUUACUUUGGUCAAUGUGGUUUGAUGACUGGACUUAAUAAAACAAAGUGCAAGGUA